UGGGGCGGCGGGGUGGACGCGCUGAACCACGGCCGGCGGGAGGGGCGGGGCCGGGCUGAACCAUGGCGGGCGGCGGCAUGGGGGCGGUGGGGCUCCGCGGGCAGCCUGGUUGCGCUGCACCCGGACGGGGCCGAGGGGACCUGAAAGCUGCGGCAGAGCCUGACCGCGCCGUUCUCCAGAAGAGCCCCGGCCGCGGCUGAGUCGCGCUCCGGGUGUGGACGGAGCCGGAGCCUCCCCGGGGCUCGGUGAGGACACAGGGCCCAAGCCCCGGACCUUCAAGUCUUGACCGAGCGCAUCCCCGGCCCUUCUGCGCCCACACCUGAGUUUUUGUCUGUAGGAGUUUCCGCAGUUUGCUAAGAAUCGACAUCUAGAGGAGUACUCACCACUUAAUUGAUGAUCAAUACACGUUCCUUGAAAGAACCGAUAGCAUGCGAUCGAUACAGAGCAUCUGCACUGGGAUUGUCCGCCCCGCCUGUCAGGGAGGCCUCGGGGGCUAAUGGAGCUGAGGGUCUCUACAAUAAUAACUUAACUCUUUCAAUUAAUUGCCCAUCAGAAAAUCGUUGAAUCCAUCUGUGACCUGGACACCUUCCACCUGCAUCCAUGGAGUUGUGUCACCUUUCUGGACCAAACCACUGGACACCUUACAUGUAUCGAUUGGCAACAUGUACACCUCCACACACUGCUAAAUGACAAAGCCGAAUUUUGAAAUACGAUACUGUGAGGUGUUUGGAGAAGAGAACUGAAAUGACGUCAUGGAGGUGGCAGGGGAUCGUCUUGCCCUUUUCUUAUUUUCUGCCUGUAACUUCUGUCCCCCUAAAAUGCAUAAAAUCCAGCUAGAACCCAACCA
rnacentral:lncRNA from 1 species